rnacentral:rRNA from 1 species
UAGCUUUAAGACUUAUAUUUAAAGUUUUACCUGCCCGGUGGAGUUCUUAACGGCCGCAGUACUUUGACUGUGCUAAGGUAGCAUAAUAAAUUGGCUUUUAAUUAAAGUCGGGUAUGAAAGGGGUUUUGGAAGAUAGCUGUCUCAAAAAUAUUUUAUUUAAAAUUAAUUAAUGAGUGAAAAUUCUCAUAUUUAUUACAUUAGACGAGAAGACCCUAAGAGUUAUAAUCAAAAUGAAUUUAUUUCAUAUAUCAUUUUUGUUGGGGCAACAAAGACUGGAUAAAACCGUCAUAAAAUAAUUUUAACAUAACCAAUAGUAUUUAAAAAGAAAUAAACUACCUUAGGGAUAACAGCAUAAUUAAUUUUUAGAUUGUGACCUCGAUGUUGGAUUAAGGACUUAGUUUACUAGCCGUAAACUAAGAUAGUUCUGUUCGAACUGUAGUACCUU